rnacentral:rRNA from 1 species
CAGUCGCCGCGGGAAUACGUAGGGUGCGAGCGUUAAUCGGAAUUACUGGGCGUAAAGCGUGCGCAGGCGGUUCGUUAAGACAGAUGUGAAAUCCCCGGGCUUAACCUGGGAACUGCAUUUGUGACUGGCGAGCUAGAGUAUGGCAGAGGGGGGUAGAAUUCCACGUGUAGCAGUGAAAUGUGUAGAGAUGUGGAGGAAUACCGAUGGCGAAGGCAGCCCCCUGGGCCAAUACUGACGCUCAUGCACGAAAGCGUGGGGAGCAAACAGGAUUAGAUACCCGUGUAGUCCCUGUCUCUUAUAC